UACGGGGGGGGCAAGCGUUGUUCGGAAUUACUGGGCGUAAAGGGCGCGUAGGCGGCUCGCUAAGUCGGGUGUGAAAACUCUGAGCUCAACCCAGAGCCUGCAUUCGAAACUGACGAGCUAGAGUUCUGGAGGGGAAAGCGGAAUUCCUGGUGUAGCAGUGAAAUGCGUAGAUAUCAGGAGGAACACCGGUGGCGAAGGCGGCUUUCUGGACAGAAACUGACGCUGAUGCGCGAAAGCUAGGGGAGCAAACAGG
rnacentral:rRNA from 1 species